rnacentral:rRNA from 1 species
CUAAUACAUGCAAGUCGAGCGAAUGGAUUAAGAGCUUGCUCUUAUGAAGUUAGCGGCGGACGGGUGAGUAACACGUGGGUAACCUGCCCAUAAGACUGGGAUAACUCCGGGAAACCGGGGCUAAUACCGGAUAACAUUUUGAACCGCAUGGUUCGAAAUUGAAAGGCGGCUUCGGCUGUCACUUAUGGAUGGACCCGCGUCGCAUUAGCUAGUUGGUGAGGUAACGGCUCACCAAGGCAACGAUGCGUAGCCGACCUGAGAGGGUGAUCGGCCACACUGGGACUGAGACACGGCCCAGACUCCUACGGGAGGCAGCAGUAGGGAAUCUUCCGCAAUGGACGAAAGUCUGACGGAGCAACGCCGCGUGAGUGAUGAAGGCUUUCGGGUCGUAAAACUCUGUUGUUAGGGAAGAACAAGUGCUAGUUGAAUAAGCUGGCACCUUGACGGUACCUAACCAGAAAGCCACGGCUAACUACGUGCCAGCAGCCGCGGUAAUACGUAGGUGGCAAGCGUUAUCCGGAAUUAUUGGGCGUAAAGCGCGCGCAGGUGGUUUCUUAAGUCUGAUGUGAAAGCCCACGGCUCAACCGUGGAGGGUCAUUGGAAACUGGGAGACUUGAGUGCAGAAGAGGAAAGUGGAAUUCCAUGUGUAGCGGUGAAAUGCGUAGAGAUAUGGAGGAACACCAGUGGCGAAGGCGACUUUCUGGUCUGUAACUGACACUGAGGCGCGAAAGCGUGGGGGAGCAAACAGGAUUAG